rnacentral:rRNA from 1 species
AUGAAUGGACGUGGCUACCAGAAGCUGAAUGAAGCAAUGUUUACUUUUCUACCCAAGAUACCAGAUGCAUCAUCGCAUUUUGACUAUUGGUCCAUUAGUCUAAUCCAUCCCCUAGAGAAUCUAUUCACCAAAGUUCUCUCCUUAUGGAUUGCCCCUAGGUUUGGAUACAUAGUUUCUGCCAACCAAAGCUCGUUCAUCGCCGGUUGCGGCAUGCAUGAGAACUUCAUGCUGGUUCAACAAACUAUGAGACAACUACAUAACCUCAAGAACGCGUGUGUCCUCCCCAAUCUCAAGAUCAUGCUGGCGUUUGAUUGGGUGUCAUGGCCCUACAUCUUUGAGAUCUUGCAACACCUUGGCUUUGAAAAAAAGUGGAGCCCCUGGGUCUCCACACUCCUCUCAAGUUCCCUUAUGACAGUGCACAUCAACGACAUCCCUGCACCACUCAUAGAGCACGCAUGUGGCCAAUGGCAGGGCGCCCCCCUCUCGACCAUGCUAUUCAUCCUUAUCAUUGACGCCCUCAAUUCUGGGGUGCGGCAUGCCAUCCUCCACGGCGUCCUCUAG